CAACAAACAAACAAACAAACAAAACAAAACAAGGAAAUUAAAGAACCAAAUAGAAAUCUGGAGUUGAAAAGAAAUCUAGCACAAGACAUGAAGGAUAAACCCCUAAACGUUAGUAGACAUCAAAGGUACAGGUGGAGAAGAAGAACCAUUUAAGAAUAAUGAGAGGGAAUGCUCAGUUAGCCAAGGAAGGAGAGUGUUUCAAAAGUAAGAGAUCAGGCCACAAAAGUUAGGUAAAGAACGAAAAGUGUCCUUUGGAUUUGGCUGUUACAAAGUCGUUGGCAAUCCUGGAGCAAUUUUGAACAAGUGUUUUGCAUGGAAGCACAUGAGAUUCAGAAAGAAUUAUAAGUGAGAAAGUGGCAAUAAUAGUGCAGACACACUUUUAGAAAUAGUGGCUAUGAAUAGAAAGUGAUAUAUAUGUAAAGGAUGUACCUGAAUUAUAGGUACACGCUCUGUAUGAAUGAAGUCUUGGGUUUGAACCUAGCCUCUUCACUCUCUUUAGUAUGUAGCUUAGCCAGUUAAUCCUAGUUUCUUUUCUAUAAAGUGGGAAUAUAGUACCUACCUUAUAAGGCUGUUCUGUGGAUUAAAUGAGGAAAUAUAUGUGUGUAAAGUAUAUGGUAGAGUCCCCCAAAAAGAGUAGGAACACAAUAACUUCCAGAAUUGUCUUCCCAACGUUUCCACAAAAGGAAGCCGUGAUGGAUCUACUUAACUGGUUCUUGUUUGUUUGUUUGCCAGUAAUAAACCUCUUGUUUUUAUCAAAGUAUGAAGAUAUAAUUUUUGACCAUUCUGGAAAAGAAUGUUCUUUAAUUUGUAAAGAAAAUUUGUUUUCUAGUGUGACACCCUCAAGGUACCAUAUUUCUAUGUAAAUGUUGUGCCCAAUGCUACACAGACACUAUUUAAAAACUAUUUUCUGCCUUUGGUAAAUAGACUAAACGUUUUCUUUAUUCCUCAAAAGAAUUAGAUCAUACUUCAGUGUUGAUUUUGUUGCUAAUGGGACAUGGAGACGUCCAGAUGAUAAUAAAUAUUCCUGUGGUAUCAUCACUGAAGCCUUUAAGAGUUAUACUGAGUUUGUGUGUGAAGAAGUGACUUAAAUCCUCCUUUCAGACAGCUUCCUUAUUCAUAUAGGAAACCUCUGUUUCAUUAGGAGAUGAAUGUGAUAUUUCAUUUUAGUUGUUCUUGUUGACAUACAACUUUUUUCUCCUCUGAAAUAGCAUGUUUUUAUUAUUUGCUUGAUUGCCAUUAUUAGAUAUUUUUGUUCUGCCAUCCACUGAAACACUCAGAAAUCAUGCUUUAUAGUAACAAUAUAAUUUUUCAUAUCUAUAUUUGUUAUUAAAAUUUAGACCUAAUUUUUAUACAAUAAAAUGCACAGUUCUGCCUCUCAGAACCUUCCUGCUGCCACGUUUGCAACUUGCUGCUCUAGCCUCUGGGGCGCUUUCCAUCCUUUCAGCCUGCAGACAGCAGAGAAAAAAAAUUACACAUAUUCUUGCCCUGUGCAUACCUAGAGGCGAGCAAAAAAAUUAAAUUUUAACCAUGAGGGAAAUUGUGCACAUCCCCUGGUCAGUGUGGCAACCAGAUGGGUGCCAAGUGCUGGGAUGUGAUCAAUUAUGAACGUGAAAUGGACCCCACCAGCACCUAACAUGGGGACAGUGACCUGCAGCUGGACUGCAUCUCCAUGUACUACAGUGAAGCCACAGAUGGCAAAUAUGUUCCUUGUGCUCUCCUGGUGGAUCUAGAACCUGGGACCAUGGACUCUGCUAGCUCAGGCCCUUUUGGCCAGGUGCUUAAACCAGACAACUUUGUUUUUGGUCAGUCUGGGGCAAGCAACAACUGGGCCAAAGGCCGCUACAUAGAGGGGGCCGAGCUGGUUGAUUCAGUCAUAGAUGUGGUGCAGGAGGACGCAGAGAGCUGUGACUGCCUGCAGGGCUUCCAUCUGACUCACUCAGUGGGCUCUGGAAUGUGUACUCUCCUUAUCAGCAAGAUCUGAGAAGAGUGCCCUGAUUGCAUCAUGAACAUCUUUAGUGUGGUGCCUCCACCCAAAGUGUCUGACACCAUGGUCGAGCCCUACAACAUCACCCUCUCCAUCCAUCAGCCGGUAGAGAACACUGAUGAGACCUACUGCAUUGACAACGAGGCCCUCUAUGACAUCUGCUUCCACACUUUGAAGCUGACCACACCAACCUACGGGGACCUGAACCAACUUGUCUCAGCCACCAUAAGCAUUGUUACCACCUGUCUCCACUUCCCUGGCCAGCUCAAUGCUGACCUCCACAAGUUGGCAGUCAACCUGGUGCCCUUCCCACGUCUCCACUAAUUCAUGGCUGGCUUUGCCCUCUCACCAGCUGUGGAAGCCAGCAGCAUCGAGCUCUCACAGUGCCCAAACUCACCCGGCAGGUCUUUGAUGCCAAGAACAUAAUGGCUGCCUGUGACCCCUGCCACAGCUUAUAUCUCACUGUGGCUGCUGUCUUUGUGGAUGGAUGUCCAUGAGCAGAUGCUCAAUGUGCAGAACCAGAACAGCAGCUACUUUGUGGAAUGGAUCCCCAACAACAUCAAGACAGCUGUCUGUGACAUCCCACCUCAUGGCCUCAAGAUGGCGAUCACCUUCAUUGGCAACAGCGUGGCCAUCCAGGAGCUCUUCAGGUGCACCUUGGAGCAGUUCACUGCCAUGUUCCCCUGGAAGACCUUCCUCCACUGGUACCCAGGCGAGGGCAUGGAUGAGAUGAGAGUUCACCAAGGCUGAGAGCAACAUGAACAACCUCAUCUCUGAGUAUCAGCAGUACCAGGAUGCCACCACAGAAGAGGAGGAGGAUUUCGGUGAGGAGGCUGAAGAGGAGGCCUAAGGCAGAGCCCCCAUCACCUCAGGCUUCUCAGUUCCCUUAGCCAUCUUAUUCACCUGCCACUUUUCUCUUUUUUCAAACACAAAUCUAGAUCUCAGAAUUUGUGUUUGCUGCCUCAAACACAAAUCUAGAUCUAGAACAGUGCCUAGCGUGUAGUAGGCACUCAAUAAGUACUUGUUUGUUGAAUGUUUCCUUUCUCUUUCCACUCUGGGAAGCCUAGGUUUCUGACACUCUGGGAAACCCUGUAUUUCCUUCUGGUGCCCAUCCCUUCCAUCUGUCCAGUUAAUAUUUCCCUCUUUUUAAAAUCUGCAAGAAACUGGGUCUCAUCCAGAUCUCAUUUAGAACCCACUGGGUUUUGAAACCCACGUGGAUAAUGGCCACCAUCCUAAGCCCAAAGCGAAAGAUGGUAGAAGGUGGCAGGUAGAAGUCACUACAAGGAAGGGGAUGGGAUUUUCCAUCCUAAAAGUUUUGGAGAGGGAAAUCCAGGCUACUAAAGUCAUAAUUUCCAGGUAAUUCCAUUUUCCAUUUCUCAGCUUCAAGGGAGGUGUUAGCAGUAUUUUCUCCAUUUUCAGUCUCCCUCCAAGCUCUGCCCUUUGGAGAGGUCUGCCCCACUCUGUCAAAUGGAAUCUUUCCCUCUCUGACUCUGCCUCUCUCACACAUUGAAUUCCUCCCUUUCCCCUGAUUAGAGAAGGGGAUCAACGCGGGGAAAGAGACCAACCUUGGUCCCUAGGCCUCCAGAAAUGCCCUCCGAAUCUCUACCUUUUCUUAACCCCCAAAGAGGAUUAACAUCCCUGGCUUUAUCUGGGAUGGUAUAUACUGCCACAUCAGUGUUUGAGUCAUUCCCCAGAGGAAAGGAGAACCCUCCUCCAUCUUUUUGCAACAUCUCCUAUCUUCCUUUUGCUAUUGCUUUUUCCCCCUUACACUUGGUUUUGUUCUGUCCUACACUUCAAAUUUCUAUUUUGAACGUGCUGCUUUUUUUCAUAUUGAAAAGGUGACAUUGCUCCAAGAGCCAAAAAUAAAUGGGAAUUGGAAAAAAAAUGCACAGUUCUCACAAAAACAUGUACACUAAUGUUUACAGCAGCAUUAUUCAUUGUCAAAAGCUGGAAACAAGCCAGAUGUCUAUCAUCAACUGAUGAACAGA